rnacentral:rRNA from 1 species
GGGUUGUGAGGUUAAGCGACUAAGCGUACACGGUGGAUGCCCUGGCAGUCAGAGGCGAUGAAGGGCGUGCUAAUCUGCGAUAAGCGCCGGUAAGGUGAUAUGAACCGUUAUAACCGGCGAUACCCGAAUGGGGAAACCCAGUGUGAUUCGUCACACUAUCAUUAACUGAAUCCAUAGGUUAAUGAGGCGAACCGGGGGAACUGAAACAUCUAAGUACCCCGAGGAAAAGAAAUCAACCGAGAUUCCCCCAGUAGCGGCGAGCGAACGGGGAGGAGCCCAGAGCCUGAAUCAGCAUGUGUGUUAGUGGAAGCGUCUGGAAAGGCGCGCGAUACAGGGUGACAGCCCCGUACACAAAAGCGCAUGUGCUGUGAGCUCGAUGAGUAGGGCGGGACACGUGGUAUCCUGUCUGAAUAUGGGGGGACCAUCCUCCAAGGCUAAAUACUCCUGACUGACCGAUAGUGAACCAGUACCGUGAGGGAAAGGCGAAAAGAACCCCGGCGAGGGGAGUGAAAAAGAACCUGAAACCGUGUACGUACAAGCAGUGGGAGCCCCACCACCAAAGCAUUCUCUGGUGUUGAAGGCCCUGCAAAGCAGCAUCGCGGUGGCGGAGCGUCGUUUGCGACGCCCAACACACAAAACAAGCGGUGAGUGCUUUGGGGUGGGGUGACUGCGUACCUUUUGUAUAAUGGGUCAGCGACUUAUAUUCUGUAGCAAGGUUAACCGAAUAGGGGAGCCGGAGGGAAACCGAGUCUUAAUUGGGCGUUAAGUUG